UACGUAGGGGGCAAGCGUUGUCCGGAUUUAUUGGGCGUAAAGAGCGUGUAGGCGGCCAUGUAGGUCCGUUGUGAAAACUCGAGGCUCAACCUCGAGACGCCGAUGGAAACCAUGUGGCUAGAGCCCGGAAGAGGAGAGUGGAAUUCCUGGUGUAGCGGUGAAAUGCGCAGAUAUCAGGAAGAACACCCGUGGCUAAGGCGGCUCUCUAGUACGGUACUGACGCUGAGACGCGAAAGCGUGGGGAGCGGACAGG
rnacentral:rRNA from 1 species